rnacentral:rRNA from 1 species
CCCGAUGGAUCCCCUGCAGACGACUCGAAUGAGGAACGGGGUGCUGUACGCGGCAGAGUGGCCUUGUUGCCACGAUCCGCUGAGGCUCAGCCUUGGUUCCGAAGAUC